GACGAACGCUGGCGGCGUGCUUAACACAUGCAAGUCGAACGGUAAGGCCCUUCGGGGUACACGAGUGGCGAACGGGUGAGUAACACGUGGGUGAUCUGCCCUGCACUUCGGGAUAAGCCUGGGAAACUGGGUCUAAUACCGGAUAGGACCACUGCCUGCAUGGGUGGUGGUGGAAAGCCUUUGCGGUGUGGGAUGGGCCCGCGGCCUAUCAGCUUGUUGGUGGGGUGAUGGCCUACCAAGGCGACAACGGGUAGCCGGCCUGGGAGGGUGACCGGCCACACUGGGACUGAGAUACGGCCCAGACGCCUACGGGAGGCAGCAGUGGGGAAUAUUGCACAAUGGGCGCAAGCCUGAUGCAGCGACGCCGCGUGAGGGAUGACGGCCUUCGGGUUGUAAACCUCUUUCAGCACCGACGAAGCGCAAGUGACGGUAGGUGCAGAAGAAGGACCGGCCAACUACGUGCCAGCCGCCGCCGUAAAAC
rnacentral:rRNA from 1 species